AUGUCGGUAGUGCAUAUGGUUAGCACGCGCCCCUAGAAAGCGUGAAAUGCGAGUUCGAUUAUCGUCUGACGUU